rnacentral:rRNA from 1 species
GGGUCAGUAGGUUGGUCGUGCCACCGGUACGUACUGGUCUCACUGAUUCCUCCUUCCUGAAGAACCGUAAUGCCAUUAAUUUGAUGUUGCGGGGAAACAGGACUGUUACUUUGAAAAAAUUAGAGUGUUUAAAGCAAGCUAACGCUUGAAUGUAUUAGCAUGGAAUAAUGAAAUAGGACGAUCGAUCCUAUUUUGUUGGUUUCUAGGAUUGACGUA